CUUGCACGCUUUGGUGUCUCUUCGGGCCGCGCCUGGUGCCCACUGCCGCACGGUCUCCUUUCUUUUUCAUCCUCCAAGGGGCGUCGGCGCAGGGCGCGCAGUCCGCCUCGGCUUGUCGCCGGAGGCAUGCACUCAGCCUUUCUGGAACGCGUCUUGGGCUACUCGGGAGCCGACAGGACCUCGGCGAGCUCUGAGGUAGGCCCAGAUGGCGGGGUCAUGGCAUCAACCGGCAGCGGAGGUGCGAAGAGCAGCACCCAGUACAAGGCCGUCACGCGGCCGUAUCGGUGUAGUCAAAGUAACCCAGCGCUGCGAUCAGAAAACCUCGUCGGCACUGCCAAGGACGGUGACGCCGACGGCGCGCCUCUCAACAGCUCCAUGAAGAGAGGCGGAGGCUUCAGCUUCUCCAAGGCAGGUAGGCUCUCUUGGAUGAGUAUUCGAUCAUCCAUCGGCAUGGGCACCAGGCAGUCGUCGGCUUCCGCGGCGCCCGCACCGCAAGCCUCGAGCGGUGCGUUGCAUCUCAACAAAUUGAGUGCGCCGACUCCUCCUGGCACCACCGCGACGGUGAGCCCCUUUGGGCCGAACACCCCGCUGGCCAAGACCCCGACCCCGACCACGGCCGCUGCUACCGCCACCGCUGCCGUGAGCGGCGAGCAUGCAAAGCGCUUCCAGGAGGCGCUGUGUGUAGACUCAGUGGAUAUGGCGCUACUGCGGGAGCUGAGCUGGCAGGGCUGCCCGGUUGCUCUCCGGUACGAGGCAUGGAUGUUUCUCACCGGAUGCUGGACGGCGCAGGCAGCAACGCGCCAGCCGACCGUGCUGAGGCGCCGUGUCGAGUACGCCGCCUACAUUCACAGCUCCUACGGCAUCGUCGACUGGGACGCCGUGUGCGCGAUGGUGGACAGCGGCGUCGACACAGCCGUGCACCGGUCAACCCUCAAGUCACUCGAGCACACUGCUGAUACACCGCAGGUGACCCCACCGUCCUGCACCUCACAGAGCCGCUUGCGUGCGGCGCCGUUGACAACCGGCGGCAGCACAGCCACGGCGGCAAAGGAGGCUGCUGCCGCUCCACCUCUGUCGCUUUCGCAGCGGCCGGACGGAUGGCAGAGCGCUUCCCUCCCCCUCGAGGAUGCCCGCUCGCGGUCGCCGCAGAACACAAGUGGGAGUGACGCGCCGCAGCCGUCGCAACUGCCACAGCCCCAGUCAGCGGAUCUCCCGACAGCAAGCCCUUCCCUGGGCACUCUGCCAGCCCCCUCUGGCUCCUCGUUCCGCGCCUCCGCUUCAGUGGGGCUCACUGAUACCGCCGGUGCCGGUCCGACUUCUCAUCCGCCAAUGUCCGUGCCGCCGCUUCCCGGGCUUGCGACGCUCGGGCUGCCGAAUGCGGUGCCAGCGACGGUGGCGCCAUCUGCUGCCAGUGGCGGCGCUGGCGGGGCGACAGGGCACCAGCUUAGUGCCAGCACGAUGCUGGGCUCGAAGGAGUUGCAGACGCUGAAGCAGAUCCGCAAGGACAUUCCUCGCAUGUCGGGCGGCCACUGCUACCUGCGCCACCCACGCGUGCAGGGCUCCAUUGAGCGCAUCCUGUUCAUCUGGUCCCUGCGCCAUCCGGCCUGCGGCUACGUGCAGGGCAUGAAUGACCUUGUUGUCCCGUUCAUGGGCGUGGUGCUGGGCUACCGCUUCUGUCCGACCCACUCGGUAACAGAGCUGCACGCCUACACCGAGGACAUCUUCGACGAUCUGUGGUCCGUUUCGGCAGUUUCGGCCACGCAGUGGAUCAACGAGGUGGAGGCGGAUGUGUACUGGAUGACGUCGUAUUUGCUCAACACCAUGCAGGAUAACUACACGAGCAGUCACGCCGGGAUCACGUCCAUGAUGCGGCACCUCGCUGCGGUCGUGCAGGUUGCCGACCCACCGCUCUACCAUCGCUUGGUGGACGUGCUGCAGCUCCACUUUGAGCAGUUUUCCUUCCGGUGGAUGAAUUGCUUGCUAAUGCGCGAGCUGACUGAAACGCAGUCGCUGCGGCUGCUCGAUGCGUAUCUAUCCGAUGAGGAGCGGCGGUGGAGUGUCACGCACGUGUAUGUGUGCGCGGCACUGCUGCUGCGCUGGGGCUCACAGCUGAUGGCGUUUUGCGAGGACUAUAUCAGCGUAAUGAAGUUCUUGCAGGAACCACCGACGGAGCAGCUGUCGCUGCGUGAUAUGCAAGAUGUGCUCUCAGAGGGCUUUGUGCUGCAGAACCUGUAUGAGGCCUCCUUGAAGAGACUGUCCACAACCGCGGAGUGAAGGGCGUGGGCAGCUUGAUCUCGUCACGAGCCGCACUUGCGUCGCAGCAUGUUUUCGUUCUGGACGUUGUCGGCGUGCGCGCAUGUACAGGCGCUACCUGUGCGUAGCGUGAGCGUACGCCAUGCCACCUUCACCCCCUCCCUUCUCCUCACCGAAUGAGCGCUCUGUCUCUCUUUGGGCGCAUACUUGUAUGCGUGCCAAGCGUGCUUCGCUCUUUUCUUUCUCCCUGCAGCUGCGUUUUGAACUCCCCACAUGUGUGCAGUCGCACGUUUUUGCGGCGAGCAUCGUGCCUUGGACGCUUUCCCUUCGUUUCUCGCCACCGCUCUUCCACUUCUCUCUACCUCGCUCUCCCCUCCUUCCGCUUACAGCACCUGCGC
rnacentral:misc_RNA from 1 species